rnacentral:rRNA from 1 species
UACGAAGGUGGCAAGCGUUAUUCGAAAUCACUGGGCUUAAAGGGCGCGUAGGCGGGAACGAAAGUGUCUUGUGAAAUCCCUCGGCUUAACCGAGGAAUUGCUCGGCAAACUUCGUUUCUUGAGGCAAGUAGGGGUGUGUGGAACUCUUGGUGGAGCGGUGGAAUGCGUAGAUAUCAAGAGGAACGCCGAAGGUGAAAACAGCACACUGGGCUUGUACUGACGCUGAGGCGCGAAAGCGUGGGGAGCAAACAGGAUUAGAUACCCUGGUAGUCCACGCUGUAAACUAUGUCUACUAGGUUGCGGGGGUUCUGACACCGUCGCAGUCGAAGCAAAAGUGUUAAGUAGACCGCCUGGGGAGUACGGUCGCAAGGCUAAA